GGGCCCGUAGCACAAUUGGCAGUGCAAGAGACUUUUAAUCUCUAGGUUCUGGGUUCGAGUCCCAGCGGGCUCA
rnacentral:tRNA from 1 species